CCUACGGGAGGCAGCAGUGAGGAAUAUUGGUCAAUGGCCGGGAGGCUGAACCAGCCAAGUCGCGUGAGGGAAGACGGCCCUACGGGUUGUAAACCUCUUUUGUCAGGGAGCAAGGUGCAGGUCGGGACCUGCUGUGAGCGUACCUGACGAAAAAGCAUCGGAUAACGCCGUGCCAGCAGCCGCGGUAAUACGGAGGAGGCGAGCGUUAUCCGGAUUUAUUGGGGUUAAAGGGUGCGCAGGCGGAGGCACAAGUCAGCGGUAAAAUCGCGGGGCUCAACCCCGCUCCGACGGUGAAACUGUGGCCCUUGAGUGCGGGAAGGGUAGGCGGAAUGCGUGGUGUAGCGGUGAAAUGCAUAGAUAUCACGCAGAACUCUGAUCGCGAAGGCAGCCUACCGGAGCGUAACUGACGCUCAUGCACGAAAGCGUGGGUAUCGAACAGGAUUAGAUACCCGAGUAGUC
rnacentral:rRNA from 1 species